UUAGUUUAGCGCACCUCCUCGAACCUUUUCGUGCUGUAUGCAUGUCCUGAUUUUCACCACGACUUGCUGUUUUGGUUUCACAAUAAUUAAAUGAACGCACCGACAAUACAAUUGAAUGGGGUGACGUUGGGUAGUACACAGUGACAUAACGACCCUUUUGUGUUAUGGGUUACUGAAUAUAGAACGAGGAAAACACGAUAUGCUUGACUCGAUGAGACAUGUGACCGUAGCUGAAGCAGAGAGGAGCUGAAGGGGGGGGGGGGAUUCACCCAGUGAGCCAUACCAGCCAGAACCGCCACUGAUGCUACCAAACCAUGACCUGGGACCAAUCUUCGCCAAGAUGUCACAGGACCUGGAGUCUGUAACCAUUGACCUCUACACCAACUACCUUGACCCAGUCACUGACCACCUGCCCAUGUUUCCCAUUAGGACACAAGCUGAACUUCAACCUGAGGCUGAACUGCUUUGAAUCAUGGGCAGACACAGAGAGGGAAAGAAGCCGCCAUGUCCCCUCUAACGGAGGACCCCGCAUCAGUGGUGCCUAGACUAUUCUUGGCGCUCUGUUCCUAGUCAGAUGCUCUAUGACCAACAGUCACUUUAUCUAUCAAAUGUAUGGCUACCACUGCAGAUGACCCUGGGCAUGUUAGUGUGUUUGUCUUGUUACAUCACUAGACUUUAAACCAGUAUGUAUAUUUCAGUCCACAUGAACAAUAAAGACCAACUAUGCAUA